rnacentral:lncRNA from 1 species
AGAUGGCCUGCCUGGUGGCCUUUAUAUCAUCUGCAGUUAUUUCAAUUAUCCUUAAGAAAUUUUUAGUUACACUUAAGUUUAUAAAUUUUGUAGUUGUAAUAAGUAGCUUCAUGAUUCUUUGAUAAAUAAAUAUCUAUAUAAUAGUUGCCAGAAGGCCUAAAAGAAUUCUUUCAAAUUGUAAUUUAACUUCAUGUAAAGCUAAAACUUUACUAACUCAAAACACUUAGCAUAAAGAAAACAGUAAGAUGAAAAUCAUUAAUUUGAAUUCUUUUUGAACUUGAUGUAAAACUAAAACUAUAGUAACUUAAAACACUUAAAAUAACAGUACAAUGAAAAUGUACUCAAUAUUUUAGUCGCAAGAUAAUAUUUUCAUUACAAAAUAGGCUAAUAUUAUCCUUUGUACAAAUGUAAUCCUACUGCAUUUGACACAUCAGUGCAUAUAUAUAUUGCACAUCACAUAGCAGUCAUCUAUUUACAUAAUUUUUACAAAAACAAAAGUUAGCCAAAAGCUAAGUAAGAUGACACAAGGUUCCAGAAAAUACAUUAUAAUACCUAGAACAAUUGCAUAGCUAAGCUAAUGCCUAUUACUAAUCCUUCUCAAUCUUCACAACAGCCAUCUUCACCUUCUUCUCACCCACAGAUGCCUCAAAUUCUUUUGCCAAAUUUCUCUUCACAGAACAUCUUAAAGUCCUUUCAUAAUCUCCAACCAACUCAUUGUCUCGUAUAAUAGAAGAGUUAACUGGCUUGCAACGAACCUAAAAUAAAAUAAACAAACUUAAGUACAAAUAAGAUGCAUAAUUUUUAUAUUAAGAGAGAACAAAGUCCCAACUGAUCACCUUUCUAUUUCCAGAGAGAAUUGGCAUAGUUGUGAUCUGGGACAGUCCCUCACACUCUUCUUCAAAAGAAUUUUGAGAAUCUUCAUCCUCCGGUUCUCCUUCAGAAUCCUUACUCUUAGAAGCAUACUUACCCACAACAUCUGGAUUGCUGCAUAUUUUUAGAACAGUGUAUGGCCUGUCGUUUAGUGUUUUGAUAUCAGCUCUUAGCUGCACUUUGAACAUGAUAGUCUUCCCGAUAAGAGCACUUUCAAUUUCCUUAGGUAUAAUUUCAAAGUGACCAACCUAUAAAAGUGAAAAAGUAAAUAAAUUAAUAGUAUAUCACAUUUCCUCAAUAACUUUUGGAACAAUAUUAAUAAUCUGGUCGUAAAAGAUGUAUUUUAGAAGAACCUGCAUAUGCGAAAAAUAGAAACCAACACAUUUGCUUAUUUAACAAUUAAAAAUGCAUAUUUACUGCCUACUAUAGUGAGACGUACAUUAAAAUUCUCCCUGUGCAUUACCUCAUUCCCUUUCAGCUGUACCUCUGAAGCCUUCUUUCCAAGCAAAGUAAUGCAUUCUUUAUCCCAAACCAAAAGUGACAUAUUGUUUGUAGAGUCAACUACAUUCAAGAUCAACAUGUACCUAAAGUAAUAUCACAUAUAAAUAUUAGAAACACAUAUUUAUAUAAAAUAUUUAUUUCAAUACUGUUUAUAUGGCAGAAUAUAGGAAAACCUUUUAUUUGCCUUCCCAUCAUAUUUGUUGCAAGCUUCACAAAAGAAUCUGUUGUUUAAUUUUACAACUUUCCUUGUGCAUCGGACACAGGCCAUAUAACACCAAGUAUAGGAACAAUCAACAGACUCAAUAGUACCACAUAUCUAAGCUUCUCCAUUCUACAUAAUUUUAAUAAAUUUAAGUUAAGUACAAAGUACAUAUCAAAUAAAAAUGUUAAAUCAGCAUUGGUUGUAGAAGAACAAUACCUCAUUUGUGACAAUUUCAUCAAUAACCUUCACAUUUAGUGUUUCAUCAGCAGACACGUCCUCUUUCACAGCUUCCAAAUUCAUAGACAAUGUGUUUUUG